AGCUUUGCGCAGUGGCGAUAUCGUAACCAAUGAGGUUCUACCGAGGUGCGAUUAUUGCUAGUUGAAAACUAUCAAUUUAUAUGUUUUUGUAAUGUAGCACUUCAAUUGCCGGAACCUGUAUUGAAAAAUUCUUUCAACAUGAUUUUAG